UGCCCAAGAGACUGGGAUAACACCUGGAAACAGAUGCUAAUACCGGAUAACAACACUAGACGCAUGUCUAGAGUUUAAAAGAUGGUUCUGCUAUCACUCUUGGAUGGACCUGCGUGCAUUAGCUAGUUGGUAAGGCAACGGCUUACCAAGGCAAUGAUGCAUAGCCGAGUUGAGAGACUGAUCGGCCACUAUUGGGACUGAGACACGGUCCAAACUCCUACGGGAGGGCAGCAGAG
rnacentral:rRNA from 1 species